UGAGCGCUGAAGGUUGGUACUUGUACCGACUGGAUGAGCAGCGAACGGGUGAGUAACGCGUGGGGAAUCUGCCUUUGAGCGGGGGACAACAUUUGGAAACGAAUGCUAAUACCGCAUAAAAACUUUAAACACAAGUUUUAAGUUUGAAAGAUGCAAUUGCAUCACUCAAAGAUGAUCCCGCGUUGUAUUAGCUAGUUGGUGAGGUAAAGGCUCACCAAGGCGAUGAUACAUAGCCGACCUGAGAGGGUGAUCGGCCACAUUGGGACUGAGACACGGCCCAAACUCCUACGGGAGGCAGCAGUAGGGAAUCUUCGGCAAUGGACGAAAGUCUGACCGAGCAACGCCGCGUGAGUGAAGAAGGUUUUCGGAUCGUAAAACUCUGUUGGUAGAGAAGAACGUUGGUGAGAGUGGAAAGCUCAUCAAGUGACGGUAACUACCCAGAAAGGGACGGCUAACUACGUGCCAGCAGCCGCGGUAAUACGUAGGUCCCGAGCGUUGUCCGGAUUUAUUGGGCGUAAAGCGAGCGCAGGUGGUUUAUUAAGUCUGGUGUAAAAGGCAGUGGCUCAACCAUUGUAUGCAUUGG
rnacentral:rRNA from 1 species